CCGUAGGCCAACAUGCUGCGUCUGUACCUCACUUGCAUCCGCAACACUCUGGAGGCCGCCAUGUGCCUGCAGAAUUUCCCUUGCCAAGAGGUCGAGAGGCACAACAAACCGGAGGUGGAGCUCAAGACUAGCCCUGAACUUCUGCUGAAUCCGGUAAGAGAGACUCUCCA